rnacentral:rRNA from 1 species
GCGUGCUAACACAUGCAAGUCGAACGAGAAAGUGGAGCAAUCCAUGAGUAAAGUGGCGACCGGGUGAGUAACACGUGACUAACCUACCUCCGAAUGGGGAAUAACUCCGGGAAACCGGGGCUAAUACCGCAUAACACCGCAAGGUCAAAGCAGCAAUGCGUUUGGAGAGGGGGUCGCGGCUGAUUAGCUAGUUGGCGGGGUAACGGCCCACCAAGGCGAAGAUCGGUAUCCGGCCUGAGAGGGCGCACGGACACACUGGAACUGAAACACGGUCCAGACUCCUACGGGAGGCAGCAGUGGGGAAUUUUGCGCAAUGGGGGAAACCCUGACGCAGCAACGCCGCGUGGAGGAUGAAGCCCUUUGGGGCGUAAACUCCUUUCGACCAAGACGAUAAUGACGGUACUGGUGGAAGAAGCACCGGCUAACUCUGUGCCAGCAGCCGCGGUAAUACAGAGGGUGCGAGCGUUGUUCGGAAUUAUUGGGCGUAAAGGGCGCGUAGGCGGUGCCACAAGUCACCUGUGAAAUCU